rnacentral:rRNA from 1 species
GUGGCAAGCGUUAUCCGGAUUUACUGGGUGUAAAGGGAGCGUAGGCGGGGAUGCAAGUUGGGUGUUAAAUCUACCGGCUCAACUGGGAGUCGCACUCAAAACUGCAGCUCUUGAGUGAAGUAGAGGCAGGCGGAAUUCCUAGUGUAGCGGUGAAAUGCGUAGAUAUUAGGAGGAACACCAGUGGCGAAGGCGGCCUGCUGGGCUUUUACUGACGCUGAGGCUCGAAAGUGUGGGGAGCAAAC